GACGAACGCUGGCGGCGUGCUUAACACAUGCAAGUCGAACGGAGAGGCCCUGCUUUUGUGGGGUUCUCGAGUGGCGAACGGGUGAGUAACACGUGAGUAACCUGCCCUUGACUUUGGGAUAACUUCAGGAAACUGGGGCUCAUACCGGACAGGAGCUCCUGCUGCAUGGUGGGGGUUGGAAAGUUUCGGCGGUUUGGGAUGGACUGGCGGCUUAUCAGCUUGAUGGUGGGGUAGUGGCUGACCAAGGCUUUGACGGGUAGCCGGCCUGAGAGGGUGGCCGGCGACAUUGCGACUGAGAGACGGCCCAGACGGGAACGGGAGGCAACAGUGGGAAGUAUUGCACAGUGAGCGGGAGCCUGAGACGGAGACGCCGCGUGCGGGAUGACGGCUUUCGGGUUGUGAACCGCUUUCGCCUGUGACGAAGCGUGAGUGACGGUAAUGGGUAAAGAAGCACCGGCUAACUACGUG
rnacentral:rRNA from 1 species